CUGCAAUUUUCUUCCACAAAAAUGUUUGGACAACUCUGUUCAUACAUAUUUCUCUUUUUCUGUGAGAGUACUCCAAAGAAUUUUUACCCUUCCCUCAUCACCACUCUGCUUGGAUGCCUUCGUAGUGAUGGGAGGAAACAUCUGUGGUGCCAAAGGUGAAGUUCCAUGUCUUGUCUGAGUCUUACAAACAACUUAUAUCUAUUGAAUGGGAGAGAUUCUCUUCCUCCUUGUUCUCCUUACUGGUGCUCUUGCUUUCAGCUGUGCAGUCUCAUGCUGAGUCUGCAGCUCCUAAAACUUUUUACUGAAACAACUUUGUUUCUGUCUUGGAAGAAAACAAGAUUGAUUUUUCUGCUAUAAUUUGCUGCUGGAUUUCUGGAUUGUAUCAAUUCCCAGGAGCUCCUAACAAGCAUCACAUCUGGUGGUACACAAGACUGUGUGUCUAGGAGUGAUGUAGGGACUGUGGGACUCCCAUGUUUCAACAGCGGCAGAGAAAUAUUGGAUGGGCUCAGUCGUCCUGUGCUGGUUCUCCACCAAGAUGGAGUCACUUGUCACUUGAACUACAAUAACUCUCCAUUUGUGACCUCUCAGCCUGCCUCCAGAAUGAAAGGUGGAUGUGCUCACAUAGAAAUCCUCUCCUGAAUGUUCAGCUGGGAUGAGUGUUCCUACUGUCUCCCGAGCCACAUUUGACCAGAAUGAGGGCAACAAUUCUCUAGCAGCAGUUUGUUCCCUUGCUGUGGACUGCAUUCCUUCAGGAGAUUCUCAGGAUAAAAAGAGGUAUGAAGAGAAGCCUAGUUGUAUAGAGCUAAUACUCCUUACUUUGAAGAUCUCAUUUGAAUGGCCGAUGGAGAAAUGCCCUGAAAUUAGAGAUAUUUCAGAGAAAAAAGUAGGGAAUCACACCGACACAAGAAAGAAAGAACAUCCUGCGGUUGGAAAAUCACAGGCGUGUCUGCAAUGCUCGAGAGGAGACAGAGCGAUUCAAAGGCCCUCAGACUGUGAUGGGAAACAGAGAACCAGACUUCAGGUGUAAACUGGAGAGAGCUUUGCUGCCAGCAAAAUGUCCUUUGAGGUGGUUGCAGCUCAAAAGAGUUGAAUUGAGAAGACCCAGAGUUUGACUAGAAGCCAAGAAAAAGAUCAGCUCAGGUCUCUCCUGGGCAUUACAGUCCUGUUGAAGGGCCAGCUGUGUGAGAAGCCGCUGAAGAAUGUCCGUGACCUCGUAACUCCUGAAUCCUCUGCUUUUCCUCUAUAGCUCCAAUUAAGGUUUGUGCUUCGUUCCUCACUGUGUGUCACAGUUUUCUCUGCCAACAGCUUCAUUGAUCAAGGCAUAAAUGAAGGCAAUUUUCAUCUAGGCAUUCAGGAAAUGGAACAGGAUUAGAUCUACAGAAAAUACAACUGCAGAAGUCCUGCCAGAACAGCGUGUUGCUUCCUCCACCAUCCUGUCAAAGUCACAUCUGAUGAGGAUGAAUAAUCUGUACCACCCUGACCUACCUGUUAGGAGGACGGAUUCUGAACUGGAUGAUUAUGGAUACUGAUUUUCUUUCCUCUUCAAAAUUACUGUCUCCAAACUAAGAUGAGGAAAGCUGAACUGUCAAAGUAACAUCUGACUUGAGAGUAGCCAGUAUUCUCCAAGGCAUCAGCAUUUAAGAGGACCUGAGAAAAGAUCCUGUGCCUACCAGGAAAUUUCACUGAUCUCAUCAAGCCACAAAACUCAAGAAGGAGGAAAAAUCUGCACAAAUUAAGAAGUGCCCAG